AUCAAUUGUACCAAAAAAGAGGCAUAUACCAAACCCGAGGUUUCGAAAAUCUAAAAAAGAACAUGAAAAAAGGAAUCUCGAUGUUUGCCGGUAGCCGGUUAACCAAUUCUAUGAGGAUGACCGUGAACGGGUUACCGACUCAGCCAAUUUCCCGAUUCUUUCCGCUAACUCCGGUGAAAGCUUCUUAGCCGGUUUCUUCUCCUUCUCCGGUCGAUAAUCAAAACCCAGUGCGUAAGAAACUUCUUCGGAGCUCCACCCGGCUUUACGGAGCGAAUCAGAGAACCGAUCCGCUUUCACAAGAAGAGCAUCCAUAACCGCUUGAUUAUCUAACAAUAUCAUUUCACCUUCGAAGAAUCCAGAAGCUGUAACUUGUACAAUUUCCUUCACAUCCGAUUCAGCCCACCCGCCUUCUUUUAAAACCGAUCCGAUAUUAUCUACGUACUCGUCGACCCAAUUAGGAAUUUUGGACUUGGGCAUUUCAAAGUACCUUUCCGGUGAGGUUGAACAUGACGAUGACGAAUUUGAGUUCCUCCGCCUUCGAUCUACGGCAGCGUCGCUCCAGAACUCUACCCAACGCGGCGUCCGACCACCGGAGAGUGUAUCGAGACUCCUCCUUG
rnacentral:misc_RNA from 1 species